GGUUGUUGGGGGUUUACAAGUUCAUCUUAUCCACUCUCUUAUAUCUACUUUUCUUAUUCAAUUCGCUUAAUUAUCCAAUUGUCAUGCAAACUUUCUUGGCCUACCCUAAACCUAAUUCCUUGGCGAAAAGAACCUACUAUUAAUUACUAGUUUACUAUCUCUAGUCUCCCUAAGUAAUUAAUAAUGCAUUAAACACUGAAGCAAAAUACAAUUGAUUAUCCUACCCCUAUCUCUAGGCAGUAUUGCUUAAUCAAGGAAUUUCCUAUCAAUUGAUGACUUCCCCGUACGUUCCCGU
rnacentral:lncRNA from 1 species